rnacentral:rRNA from 1 species
AUUGAACGCUGGCGGCAUGCCUUACACAUGCAAGUCGAACGGUAACAGGUCUUCGGAUGCUGACGAGUGGCGAACGGGUGAGUAAUACAUCGGAACGUGCCCGAUCGUGGGGGAUAACGGAGCGAAAGCUUUGCUAAUACCGCAUACGAUCUACGGAUGAAAGCAGGGGACCGCAAGGCCUUGCGCGGACGGAGCGGCCGAUGGCAGAUUAGGUAGUUGGUGGGAUAAAAGCUUACCAAGCCGACGAUCUGUAGCUGGUCUGAGAGGACGACCAGCCACACUGGGACUGAGACACGGCCCAGACUCCUACGGGAGGCAGCAGUGGGGAAUUUUGGACAAUGGGCGCAAGCCUGAUCCAGCCAUGCCGCGUGCAGGAUGAAGGCCUUCGGGUUGUAAACUGCUUUUGUACGGAACGAAAAGACUUCUUCUAAUACAGGAGGUCCAUGACGGUACCGUAAGAAUAAGCACCGGCUAACUACGUGCCAGCCGCCGCCGUAACAC